CGUGUUUUCUCCUUGUUUGCAGAGUGAUUUGAUGUUGAUUGAGUAGGUGACGGAGUUGGUGGUUGCUAGAGGUGGAGGCAGCAGAGAAGAGGCAACGGCGGCUGGCAAGUCCAGAAGCAGGUGGUGCGGCGCAAUAGGGUUAGGGGGAUUAGGGUUUUUCUCAUAGCUUUAGGUUAUUGGGCCAUUGCGCUGUUCAUUGUAAUUGGAUUUAGUGUUUAGGUGAGUUGAAGUUUGGGUUUGUUGGGUCAAUUGUAUUGGGUCGGGCAAAAAAUGGAC
rnacentral:lncRNA from 1 species